rnacentral:hammerhead_ribozyme from 1 species
GCACUACUGAAGAGUCCCAAAAUGGGACGAAACGGUCGUCCAGUGC